ensembl:lncRNA
UUUAGUUUUGGGCGACAUGGGCAGCAGACAGGAUGGCGUCUUGCCGAGGGCAGUACGAGGCACCUGUACAAAAACAUUCUGAAUGGUGAAAUGGUCGGUUGCAUAGUCGGUUUUUGUAUCGCUCCUUUGCAUGUCGCGUAAAUUAUAUUAUGUCACCGUGUGGGACUAUGGGUCAGUUAACGUUGUGGGAGUAGGUGCCCUGAAUCUAGUCUGUGUGCGAGGCAGAUGACUGGCAGGGAAGGUCUCCCCAAUGGAAACAUGAGUGCUUGGGGAUGGGUAAUGUAUUGAUGCUCGGAGUGCCAAAUCAACACAAAUGGAUAAGAAAAGGUCUAAGCCAUCAGGUGCCCAGUUUAGGAAAGAAGAGGACAAACAUGCAAAGAUAAAGCGCCAUGGAGCCAUAUACAAGCUAGAACCGCCGCUGUAAAUCAGAGAACAGAACUGCAUAAUGGAAGAUCAGAUUCUCUAUAUUUUAAAGCAGUUACUUAACGCCCUCUAGUGCCUCAGUGCCAUACUGCAGCCUCAGCCAGAC